UCUUCCCCUACUGGGUUCUAUGUUUCUAUGGAUACUGACCCAUCUGGGCUCCCAUUCCCUUCCUGCCUGAGAUCAGACUAUUCAUGUUCCAUCCAACUUCCUGCUCAGAGGAACCUUGUGUCCCACCUAAUCUCUUCCCCUACUGGGUUCUAUGUUUCUAUGGAUACUGACCCAUCUGGGCUCCCAUUCUCUUCCUGCCUGAGAUCAGACUAUUCAUGUUCCAUCCAACUUCCUGCUCAGAGGAACCUUGUGUCCCACCUAAUCUCUUCCCCUACUGGGUUCUAUGUUUCUAUGGAUACUGACCCAUCUGGGCUCCCAUUCCCUUCCUGCCUGAGAUCAGACUAUUCAUGUUCCAUCCAACUUCCUGCUCAGAGGAACCCUGUGUCCCACCUAAUCUCUUCCCCUACUGGGUUCUAUGUUUCUAUGGAUACUGACCCAUCUGGGCUCCCAUUCCCUUCCUGCCUGAGAUCAGACUAUUCAUGUUCCAUCCAACUUUCUGCUCAAGGGAACCCCGUGUCCCACCUAAUCUCUUCCCCUACUGGGUUUGAUCCGUUUCGCAUGUACAGACUCCUCCUUCAGACAAACAAAUAGACACUAUAGGGGGAGACUGGAGAGGUGGGUGGGGAUAGAGACGGGGAAGCGAUCAGGAAACACCUGGCACAGUCGGGCCCUUGGCAGACACUUGCGUUGGGGUUUUUCCCAUUAGCAGAAACAUUAUUGGCUUUAAUUGGAGUGAAAUGAAGAUCCGUCUGUAUCUGCUGCUCAGCCUGUUCCCGUAUCUCUAUGUGGGGGUUGAAGUGACUCAGAAGAACAAGCUCCUUGUGGUUCAGGCUGGGAGCCGAGUGUCCCUAGAGUGUGAGCAGAAUGACAAGAGCUAUUUCUAUAUGUCCUGGUACCAGCACAGGCCGGGGCAGGGGCUACAGCUCAUGGUUUAUUCGGAUGAUAAAGACUCAGGGAACAUGGAGAAGGAAUUUACCUCCUGGAGGCUGGAGAGACUCAACAUCCUGAACUCCAACCUGAUUCUGGAAUCUGCUGGGAGUGAGCACUCGGCUGAGUACUGGUGCGCUGUCAGUAUGCACAGCAAUGGAGCCCGGGGCUGCGGGCAGCACAAAACCUUUUGCAUCCAAUGGAAUCUUUAUUAUUUCCUUAUAGAAUAUAAGUGAGUGCACCCUCUGCCCAAACUUCUCACCCACUCACUCAUGGUUAUAACCCUAUGGCAGCUCCACCCAUACAAACCCUUUGUACCAGGCAGUGACACAGAGUCUCAUUCCACUCAUAUUUUCCUGAGAUUUGGGAAAGUUUUAUCCUUUUAUUUGGCCUCAUUGUGCAGUAAGCAGGAAAGCUCUGCACUGACCGGUUGCUAAGGUGAGUACAUUUAGCAACCAGCCAACAAUGAAUUGCAAAGAGAACUUUAAUAUUAAUACUGAUAUAGUGCCAUUGCAGUGUCAUACAGAGUAUAGGGGUGCAAACACAAGGGGUUACAUUUCCCCAGAAUAGACACACAGUUACAUUUGCAAAUUGCUAGGGGGGAAAUGGAUGAUAUCACAAGAGCUUACAAUCAAAGAUGAAAAUGAUGGGAAAAAGUAAGACAGGAAUUUAUUGACUGACACCCCAAAUCAUGCAGUGAUCCUGCA